UACGAAGGGUGCAAACGUUGCUCGGAAUCAUUGGGCGUAAAGCGCACGUAGGCGGCCUUGCAAGUCGGAUGUGAACUCCCACGGCUCAACCGUGGACGUGCAUUCGAAACUGCUCGGCUCGAGUAUGGAAGAGGGUCGCGGAAUUCCCGGUGUAGAGGUGAAAUUCGUAGAUAUCGGGAGGAACACCAGUGGCGAAGGCGGCGACCUGGGCCAAUACUGACGCUGAGGUGCGAAAGCGUGGGGAGCAAACAGG
rnacentral:rRNA from 1 species